AGUGAACGCUGGCGGUGGGCCUAACACAUGCAAGUCGAACGGCACACCAGUAAGAGCUUGCUCUAACGGGUGGGGAGUGGAGGAGGGACGUGGAAUACACCGGAAUCUACUUUAUGGUGGGGGAAACCGAAGGGAAACUUACGUAAAUACCGCAUAAGACCUACGGGUAAAAGCAGGGGGUCUUGGUAGCUGGCGCGCUUAAGUGAGCCUAUGUCGGAUUAGCUAGUUGGCGGGGUAAAGGCCCACCAAGGCGACGAUCCGUAGCUGGUCUGAGAGGAUGACCAGCCACACUGGAACUGAGACACGGUCCAGACUCCUACGGGAGGCAGCAGUGGGGAAUUUUGGACAAUGGGCGCAAGCCUGAUCCAGCCAUACCGCGUGAAUGAAGAAGUCCUUCGUGUUGUAAAGCCCUUUUGUUGGGAAAGAACAGCAGCAGGUUAAUACCCCGCUGUUCUGACGGUACCCAAAGAAUAAGCACCGGCUAACUUCGUG
rnacentral:rRNA from 1 species